rnacentral:rRNA from 1 species
GACAGAGGGUGCAAACGUUGUUCGGAAUUACUGGGCGUAAAGCGAGUGUAGGCGGUCUGAAAAGUCAGGUGUGAAAGCCCCGGGCUUAACCUGGGAACUGCGCUUGAAACUACGAGACUCGAGUGUGGCAGAGGAAGGUGGAAUUCCACGUGUAGCGGUGAAAUGCGUAGAGAUGUGGAGGAACACCGAUGGCGAAGGCAGCCUUCUGGGCCAACACUGACGCUCAUGCACGAAAGCGUGGGGAGCGAUCCGG